CAGAGACUGACCCUAAACAAAUCAAAGACUGUUGAGUAGGUAUUAAAAGCAUACAAUGUUUACCGGUAAUCGGAGACAAGAAGAACGAACUGGAAGAUAUGGAACUUCAAGGCUGCAAUACCUUCAGGAAUUGGUGACUCAAUUUCAGAGUAGUACUGGUCAAGAAACAGGUUAAGAGAAAAUUGUAGCUAAUCUGGCAGACUUUGCUUCUGAUCUUUACAACUAUACCUAUUUGGGCCUGGUUUAAGAUACUUGCUUUGAUGUUGAAUUGAUUUAGCUAUGAAGGUCAAAUGUUCUGCAUACCAAUUGGAAUUGGAUCCCUUUAUCUUCUAUGCAACACAUCUAAUAAGGAAGAGAUUAUUAAGUACUUGAUGUCAUGAAGAGAUAUGCUGUUGCUGAAGCAGUAAAUGUCAGCUUCAGUAACCUAGCAAAUGUAUUUUUGUACAAACGUGUAUCUGAAUAGAAAUUUGAUUCAGAGUAGUCUGUUAUUAGAUGAACCUAUCAAGUCUGUUCUUUUUGUUCAGGAAGAUAGUUCUUUGGUUUGGCUUUGUCCUGCCGUCCUCAAUGUAAUAUGUAA